rnacentral:rRNA from 1 species
UAGGGAAUAUUGGACAAUGGGCGCAAGCCUGAUCCAGCCAUGCCGCGUGAGUGAAGAAGGCCCUCGGGUUGUAAAGCUCUUUUGUCCGGAAAGAAAAGCUUUGGGUUAAUACCCCGAAGUCCUGACGGUACCGGAAGAAUAAGCACCGGCUAACUUCGUGCCAGCAGCCGCGGUAAUACGAAGGGUGCAAGCGUUACUCGGAAUUACUGGGCGUAAAGCGUGCGUAGGUUGUUCGUUAAGUCUGAUGUGAAAGCCCUGGGCUCAACCUGGGAAUGGCAUUGGAUACUGGCGGGCUAGAGUGCGGUAGAGGGCAGUGGAAUUCCCGGUGUAGCAGUGAAAUGCGUAGAGAUCGGGAGGAACAUCUGUGGCGAAGGCGACUGCCUGGACCAGCACUGACACUGAGGCACGAAAGCGUGGGGAGCAAACAGG